rnacentral:rRNA from 1 species
UACGUAGGGGGCAAGCGUUGUCCGGAUUUAUUGGGCGUAAAGAGCGUGUAGGCGGCCAUACAGGUCAGCUGUGAAAACUCGAGGCUCAACCUCGAGACGUCGGUUGAAACCGUAUGGCUAGAGUCCGGAAGAGGAGAGUGGAAUUCCCGGUGUAGCGGUGAAAUGCGCAGAUAUCGGGAAGAACACCCGUGGCGAAGGCGGCUCUCUGGGCGGUACUGACGGCUGAGACGCGAAAGCGUGGGGAGCGAACAGG